AUUGAACGCUGGCGGCAUGCCUUACACAUGCAAGUCGAACGGCAGCACGGGUGCUUGCACCUGGUGGCGAGUGGCGAACGGGUGAGUAAUACAUCGGAACAUGUCCUGUAGUGGGGGAUAGCCCGGCGAAAGCCGGAUUAAUACCGCAUACGAUCUACGGAUGAAAGCGGGGGACCUUCGGGCCUCGCGCUAUAGGGUUGGCCGAUGGCUGAUUAGCUAGUUGGUGGGGUAAAGGCCUACCAAGGCGGCGAUCAGUAGCUGGUCUGAGAGGACGACCAGCCACACUGGGACUGAGACACGGCCCAGACUCCUACGGGAGGCAGCAGUGGGGAAUGUUGGACAAUGGGCGAAAGCCUGAUCCAGCAAUGCCGCGUGUGUGAAGAAGGCCUUCGGGUUGUAAAGCACUUUUGUCCGGAAAGAAAUGCUUGGCCCUAAUACGGUCGGGGGAUGACGGUACCGGAAGAAUAAGCACCGGCUAACUACGUG
rnacentral:rRNA from 1 species